rnacentral:rRNA from 1 species
CGAGAACGUCCCCUUCGGGGGGCUAGUACAGUGGCGCACGGGUGAGUAACACGUGAGUAAUCUACCCUGAGGUUUGGGAUAACUCACCGAAAGGUGGGCUAAUACCGGAUGGUAUUUCGGGACUACGGUUUUCGAAUUUAAAGGUGGCCUCUAUUUAUAAGCUAUCGCCAUAGGAUGAGCUCGCGCACCAUUAGUUUGUUGGUGGGGUAAAAGCCUACCAAGACUACGAUGGUUAGCUGGUUUGAGAGGAUGAUCAGCCACAUUGGAACUGAGACACGGUCCAGACUCCUACGGGAGGCAGCAGUGAGGAAUAUUGCGCAAUGGGGGAAACCCUGACGCAGCAACGCCGCGUGGAGGAUGACUGCCUUCGGGUUGUAAACUCCUGUCGGGUGAGAAGAAUCUUUGGGAAGUUAAUAACUUCCCGAGUUGACGGUACCGCCAAAGGAAGCCCCGGCUAACUCUGUGCCAGCAGCCGCGGUAAUACAGGGGGGGCAAGCGUUGUUCGGAAUUAUUGGGCGUAAAGGGCGUGUAGGCGGCCGAUUAAGUCAGAAGUGAAAUCCCAGGGCUCAACCCUGGAACUGCUUUUG